CUCUAUGGCCAUAUCACCCUGAACAUGCCUAAUCUCAGAAGCUAAGCAGGGUCGGCCUGGUUAGUACUUGGAUGGGAGACAUAAAUU
rnacentral:rRNA from 1 species